rnacentral:rRNA from 1 species
GAUGAACGCUGGCGGCGUGCUUAACACAUGCAAGUCGAACGGAAAGGCCCCAGCUUGCUUGGGUACUCGAGUGGCGAACGGGUGAGUAACACGUGGGUGAUCUGCCCUGCACUUCGGGAUAAGCCUGGGAAACUGGGUCUAAUACCGGAUAGGACCACAUUUUGGAUGGUGUGGUGGAAAGUUUUUCGGUGUGGGAUGAGCUCGCGGCCUAUCAGCUUGUUGGUGGGGUAAUGGCCUACCAAGGCGUCGACGGGUAGCCGGCCUGAGAGGGUGUACGGCCACAUUGGGACUGAGAUACGGCCCAGACUCCUACGGGAGGCAGCAGUGGGGAAUAUUGCACAAUGGGCGCAAGCCUGAUGCAGCGACGCCGCGUGGGGGAUGACGGCCUUCGGGUUGUAAACUCCUUUCGCUAGGGACGAAGCGCAAGUGACGGUACCUGGAGAAGAAGCACCGGCUAACUACGUG